rnacentral:misc_RNA from 1 species
CCUUGUGGAGGAGGACGCCGAAGGUGGGGCUAAUGACUGGGGUGAAGUCGUAACAAGGUAGCCGUACCGGAAGGUGCGGCUGGAUCACCUCCUAACAGGGAGACAACAAAAUGUUAAAUAUUAAUUUUGUCACCUUAGGUCGAUCGGUAUCUCACAUUCUUAAUUCAUUAAGGAUUUUAUUUCCUAAGUUUUUCUAGGUCACACCCAUUACUUUUCCUGGGCCAUUAGCUCAGGUGGUUAGAGCGCACCCCUGAUAAGGGUGAGGUCCCUGGUUCAAGUCCAGGAUGGCCCAUAUCUCUAUGUUGGGGGUAUAGCUCAGUUGGUAGAGCGCCUGCUUUGCAAGCAGGAUGUCAGCGGUUCGAGUCCGCUUACCUCCACUGAUCACCACCUCUUCCAUAUAUAUAAUUAUGAGGGAAAUGUUUUGAGUUGUGAUCAAAUUCUGAACGAAUCUAGCUUCCUAAUUUAAAUUAUUAAGAUGCUGGACUCAUUGAAUUAAAUUCAUUGUUUUCAGAGAACCUUGACAACUGCAUAGAUUAUUUUUAAAGACAAUAAGCAUCUUUGAUGAUGCAGAUUUAUUAUUUGUGCGAAUGCAUUAAUAACAAUUCUAUUGAGCUGAUGCUUCAAUCAUAUUAUUGAAGUUAUUGGUCAAGCUACAAAGGGCUCACGGAGG